AGGAGCUCUUUGAGAUGUCUUUAUUUUCCCAUUACAUCAGUAAACUCUUAUUUACAAUGACAGCCUACCCUGGGCCUUUUGUGCACUGCCCUACGGGACUCCCAAUCAUGGCCAGAUGUGAUAAAGCCAAGAUUUGAACCAGGAACUGAGGUGACACCUCUUGCAUGAGGUAAGAUCAUGGAGGUAAGGCGAUAAAUAGGCCAUAGUGGAGAAGUAAUUACAAUUGAGCAAUUACACACUGGAGUGAUAGAUGUGCAGAAGAUGAAUGUUCAAGUAGAGAUACUUGGGUGGAAAGGAGCAAAACAUUAAAUUAAAUAACAAUAUGGGGAUGAGGUAGUUGGAUGUUUACAGAUGUACAGGUGCAGUGAUCUGUGAGCUGCUCUGACAGCUGACGCUUAAAGUGAGGGAGCUCCAGCCUCAGUGAUUUUUGCAGUUCGUUCCAGUCAUUGGCAGCAGAGAACUGUAAGGAAAGGUGGCCAAAGGAAGAAUAGGCUUUGAGGGUGACCAGUGAAAUAUACUGUGAAAUAUACCUGCUGGAGCACGUGCUACGGGUGGGUGCUGCUAUGGUGACCAGUGAGCUGAGAUAAGGCGGGGCUUUACCUAGCAAAGACUUAUAGAUGACCUGGAGCCAAUUUUCUGAGUAGAGUGUUUUAUAAAUGACAUCGCCGAAGUCAAGGAUCGGUAGGAUAGUCAGUUUUACGAGGGUAUGUUUGGCAGCAGGAGUGAAUGAUGCUUUGUUGCAAAAUAGGAAACUAGAUUAUAGAUUUAAUUUUGGAUUUGAGAUGCUUAAUCUGGGUCUGGAAGGAGAGUUUACAGUCUAGCCAGAUACCUAGGUAUUUGUAGUUGUCCACAUAUUCUAAGUCAGAACCGCCCAGAGUAGUGAUGCUGGACUGGAGGGCAGGUGCGGGCAGCGAUCGGUUGAAGAGCAUGCAUUUAGUUUUACUAGCAUUUAAGAGCAGUUGGAGGCCACGGAAGGAGAGUUGUAUGGAAUUGAAGCUCAUCUGGAGGUUAGUUAACACAGUGUCCAAAGAAGGGCCAGAAGUAUACAGAAUGGUGUCAUCUGCGUAGCUGUGGAUCAGAGAAUCACCAGCAGCAAGAGCGACAUCAUUGAUGUAUACAGAGAAAAGAGUUGGCCCGAGAAUUGAACCCUGUGGCAACAUGCCCUCCGAUUUGACACACUGAACUCUGUCUGAGAAGUAGCUGGUGAACCAGGCGAGGCAUUCAUUUGAGAAACCAAGGCUUGAGAAUGGCGAUAAGAAUGUGGUGAUUGACAGAGUCGAAAGCCUUGGCCAGGUCGAUGAAUACGGCUGCACAGUAUUAUAUUUUAUCGAUGGCGGUUAUGAUAUUGUUUAUGACCUUGAGCGUGGCUGAGGUGCACCCAUGACCAGCUCGGAAACCAGAUUUCAUAGGGGAGAAGGUACGGUGGGAUUCGAAAUGGUCGGUGAUCUUAACUUGGCUUUUGAAGACCUUAGAAAGGCAGGGUAGGAAUGAUAUAGAUCUGUAACAGUUUGAGUCUAUAGUGCCUCCCCCUUUGAAGAGGGGGAUGACCGCGGUAGCUUUCCAAUCUUUGGGGAUCUCAGACGAUACAAAUAAAGAGGUUGAACAGGCUAGCAAUAGGGGUUGCAACAAUUGCUGCGGAUAAUUUUAGAAAGAGAGGGUCCAGAUUGUCUAGCCCAGCUGAUUUGUAGGGGUCCAGAUUUUGUAACUCUUUCAGAACAUUAGCUAUCUGGAUUUGGGUGAAGGAGAAAUGAUGGAGGUUUGGGCAAGUUGCUGUGGGGUGUGCAGGGCUGUUGACUGGAGUAUGGGAAGCCAGGUGGAAAGCAUGGAAGCUGGGUGGAAAGCAUGAAAUUCUCAAUUAUAGUGGAUUUAUCGGUGGUGACAGUGUUUUCUAGCCUCAGUGCAGUGGGCAGCUGGGAAGAGGUGCUCUUAAUCUCUAUGGACUUUACAGUGUCCCAUAACUUUUUGGAGUUUGUGCUACAGGAUGCAAAUUUCUGUUUGAAAAAGCUAGCCUUUGGUUUCCUAACUGCCUGUGUACAUUGGUUCCUAACUUCCCUGAAGAGUUGCAUAUUGCGGGGGAUAUUCGAUGCUAAUGCAGUAUGCCACAGGAUUUUUUUUGUGCUGGUCAAGGGCAGUCAGGUCUGGAGUGAACCAAGUGCUAUAUCUGUUCCUGUUUUUUAUUUUUAUUGAUUGGGGCAUGCUUAUUUAAGACGGUGAAGAAAGCACUUUUAAAGAAUAUCCAGGUAUCCUCUACUGACGGAAUGAGGUCAAUAUCCUUCCAGGAUACCCGAGCCAGGUCAAUUAGAAAGGCCUGCUCGCUGAAGUGUUUUAGGGAGCAUUUGACAGUGAUGAGGGGUGGUCGUUUGACUGCAGACCCAUCGCAGAUGCAGGCAAUGAGGCAGUGAUCGCUGAGAUCCUGAUUGAAAAUAGCAGAGGUGUAUUUGGAGGGCAAGUUGGUCAGGACAAUAUCUAGGAGGGUGCCCAUGUUUACGGAUUUAGGGUUGUACCUGGUGGGUUUCUUGAUAAUUUGUGUGAGAUGGAGGGCAUCUAGCUUAGAUUAUAGGACUGCCAGGGUGUUAAGCAUAUCCCAGUUUAGGUCACCUAACAGAACAAACUCUGAAGAUAGAUGGGGGGCAAUCAAUUCACAUAUGGUGUCCAGGGCACAGCUGGGAGCUGAGGGGGGUCUAUAACAGGCGGCAACAGUGAGAGACUUAUUUCUGGAGAGAUUAAUUUUAAAAAUUAGAAGCUUGAACUGUUUGGGCAUAGACCUGGAAAGUAUGACAGAACUCUGCAGGCUAUCUCUGCAGUAGAUUGCAACUCCUCCCCCUUUGGUAGUUCUAUCUUGACAAAAAUUGUUUUAGUUGGGGAUAGAAAUCUCAGGAUUUUUGGUGGCCUUCCUUAGCCAGAAUUCAAACAUGGCUAGGACAUCUGGGUUGGUCAAAUGUGCUAAAGCAGUGAGUAAAACAAACUUAGGGAUGAGGCUUCCAAUGUUAACAUGCAUGAAACUAAGGCUUAUAUGGUUACAGAAGUCAACAAAUGAGAGCGCCUUGGGAAUGGGAGUGGAUCUAGGCGCUGUAGGGCCUGGAAUAACCUCUACAUCACCAGAGGAACAGAGGAGGAGUAGGAUAAGGGUACGGCUAAAGGCUAUAAGAACUGGUCGUCUAGUGCGUUCGGAAAAGAGAGUAAAAGGAACAGGUUUCUGGACGUGGAAGAAUAGAUUCAAGGCACAAUGUUCAGACAAGGGUAUGGUAGGAUGUAAAUACAGUGGAGGUAAACCUAGGCAUUGAGUGACGAUGAGAGAGGUUUUGUCUCUAGAGAUAUCAUUUAGACCAGGUGAGGUCACCGCAUGUGUGGGAGGUGAAACAAACGGGCUAGCUAAGGCAUAUUGAGAAAUUAUGAAAUUAUGAAAAUAUGAUUUUUUUUCCUAUUCAACAAGUGUGGCUUGAAAUGACUGAAACAUUUUCAAAAUAUAGUAACAGGCAAUCUUCUGGUAAGUUAUUUAUAAUUUGAUUUUCUUAUAACUGUAAAAUAAAUAUGAUCAUAUUUAGUGAGAACAUAUUUGGCCCCAUUUCAUAUAACUGACGACAGAGCAUCUUCUGCCAAGCCUCCUCUGAGCGAUGAAAAGACACCAUUCGAAUGUCUGCAGACUUGUUACAACUUCCGCUUUACUUGCUCACAUCCCUCUGUGAUCAAGAGAAAGUGGUCGUGUUUCAAUUCUAAUAAAUUGUUCAGUCUUUUUUCAUGUUGAGAGUUCUAAAGCCGGCUGAGAAUGUCACAAUUGCUGAAAUCGCUAGACUGUCCCCUUUAAUAUGCGAUCUCCCAAGCUGGGCUCCAUCGCUCAGAGGGAGAGGAUAUCGAUUACUUGUCUGGAUAGGCCAGAAAAUAUGACAAGUCACUCCCUAUGUAAAUGUGGGGUGUGAAACCUGACAGUUCUAGUCAGCUCCACUGACAGAAAGCAGAUGGGUCUUUCUGGCGCCAUAAGACACUGGACCAUGCGACGUUCACAGAGCACUUUGUAAAAUGUGACCCGAUUCAGGAAACUAGGCGUAUGACUCAAGUCACGUAAUUUAUUUUAUUUUCAUCAAAAUGUGUUUUUUGGAGCAGAAAUGUCUUCUCAAACAUGUGAACUUUCAUGUGCUUUAAUAACAAAUGUUUAUGCCAUCCGUAAAUAUGAAUAAAGUAGUUAAAUUACGAGCCUAGUUGGUUUAGCCAAAGAAAAAGUCAGGAAUCUUCCAGCUAGCCAUGAUGGCUGGCUUGCUAGCUACGUGUAUGAAGUGUGUGUAACAUGAGUGAUGUUUUCUCAGAAUGCCAUUUCACAUGGCUAGUUAUAGCCUAAUAUUAGCAAGCUAACUAGCUAACAUUGAACCUAUUUAGUUAACUUAGCUAUGACAAUCGAUUUGUAUUGCUAAAGCUUGUUGUUAGCUAGACAGCUGACGUUAGAUGGCAGGCUAGCUAGCUAACAUUGCGUGUAUGAACUGUGUGUAGUGAUGUUCUCUCAGAAUGCCAUUUUGUGUCUACUCUAUAAUAAUGCUAAAAUAUUUGUAUAUGGAAUUGGUGGAAAGUUACUGCUAUCCCAUGUGACAAAAGCAGCAGUGUGGCGUCUCUACAAGGAAUCGAUGACAACACUUGGUAUGUAAAGCAUAAACACAUUCUGAUUAUUGAAUUGACCUCCAACAUGAUUGGAACUAAUUUUAUUGAUCUCACAUCCCACAGCUGGUUGGACUGGAGGAUGGUACGGUGCUGGUGGAAAGCUAUGGCUGGCAACAACACCUGACUCCAUACUUCAGGCCACUACCACAGAUGAAGCUGUACCAGCACUUCAGGAGAAUAUCAUUUUCAUUGCAUUCUUCGCUGCUCUGGGGCCUGGUGUUGUUUUCGCCAAGGAGCGUUCGGACUCAGUCGGGACCAGGUUUCAGCUGCUGCGCAACGCUGACAUCCUUCCUCCCAUAGAUGGUCUGCCUGUACAAGCACCACCUGGACUGGACAUAGCUAGACAAACGUAUCUUUUUGAGAAGAUCAGGGAGUUUUGCGACGAAGAGGCUAUGGACAUCACAUGCCCUGCACCAAAGUCAAGGGCAGGACAGAAACAGGCUCUUCGAAUAUAGAUUCCCUUGUUAAUGCGUGGUUCGGACGGACCAGUCAUCAGCACUAUCUGCAGUGCCUCUAUUUAAAUGACUCUCCCCUAACACACGCCAUACGUUGCUGCUACUAUUUUUUCAAAUCCUGCUGCUAAGCCACUUUACCCCUGAUGUCAUGCCCUGACCUUAGAGAGCCUUUUUAUGUCUCUAUUUGGUUUGGUCAGGGUGUGAUUUGGGUGGGCAUUCUAUGUUUUGUUUUCUAGGUUUUUGUAUUUCGAUGUUUUGGCCUGGUAUGGUUCUCAAUCAGGGACAGUUGUCUAUCGUUGUCUCUGAUUGGGAAUCAUACUUAGGCAGCCUUUUUCCCUUUUGUGAUUGUGGGAAGUUGUCUUUGUUAGGGGCACUGUUGCCCUUGUAAGCUUCACGGUCGUUUUUGUUAUUUCUUGUUUUGUUGGCGAUAUUUGACUAAGUAAAGGAAAAUGUACGCUCA